AUGGGACUAGGCAGAUUUUUGUGUUACUUUACUCUAACAAUCUUCAUUCAAUAUUCCUGCAGUCAGACACUGAUCGAGUCUGAUCCAGUGAUCAUCAAACCUGAUCAGUCUCAUAAACUGACCUGCACAGCCUCUGGAUUUAACUUUGGUGGCUCAGAUAUGGCUUGGAUCAGACAGGCACUUGGAAAAGGACUAGAAUGGGUUGCUAGUAUAUACAGUAGCAGCACAUAUCACUCCAGCACUGUUCAGGGCCGUUUCACCAUCUCCAGAGACAACAGUAAAAAGCAGGUGUACCUGCAAAUGAACAGCCUGAGGACAGAAGACACUGCAGUUUAUUACUGCGCCCGUGACACACAGUGAUACUUCCCCUUAGACAUCGGUACAAAAACACAGACUUACUACUGACACAUGACAAACCCACAUUUUCAGGUGGCAGUUAAAUGAUGUAAAUCACAAUUUUAGGUAAAUUAUAGUAUGAAUAUUUUGACAAAACAUGUUUACAACUCCAAAGACAACGUAAAAUAUCACACUGGUAGGCAUGGGCAAGAGUAAUAAAGGUUUCACGUAUUUAUUGUGUUCAGCCGUGUAGCAGGACCCAACACUCCACGUGUAACAUGAGAGAGGAAAAGCCCCGAUCAUUGAUAACAUCAGGAUUUUAGAGACAGGAAAUAAAUUUAACGGGACAUGUAAAUGCAAAACAUCAUCAACCAUUGGUUUAGAAGCCUGCUCAUGUUAUGACCAAGCUAAUCUGUACCUACCAAGGUCCCAAGGGAACGGUCUGCUGGAAGCUGUUUUAGGAAAUAUAGAAGCAUAGAAGGACAGGUUCUUAUGAACAUCUCUAAAGUGAAAAUUUCCUCUACAAUUUCCCCCUUUUGUCCCUUGGACUAUACACAAAAUUUUUAUUAAUCAUUAAUCUGUAACAAAAUCUAAAAUCUAAAUGAUAUUUACCAGUAUUGUUGGUCAACUACUUAAUCCACAACAUUGUUAAUCAAUUGCUUAAACAGAUUAAAUUAAUCAGCUAGAAUACAGGUACAUGAUACCUUAAGCUAAGCUCAACAAAACCAACACAUGCUCUAUCAGAUGAAUCUCCUCCUCA